CCUACGGGGGGCAGCAGUGGGGAAUAUUGGGCAAUGGGCGAAAGCCUGACCCAGCAACGCCGCGUGAAGGAAGAAGGCUUUCGGGUUGUAAACUUCUUUUGACAGGGAAGAGCAGAAGACGGUACCUGUCGAAUAAGCCACGGCUAACUACGUGCCAGCAGCCGCGGUAAUACGGAGGUGGCAAGCGUUGUCCGGAUUUACUGGGUGUAAAGGGCGCGUAGCCGGGCUGACAAGUGAGAGGUGAAAUCCGGGGGCUCAACCCCCGAACUGCAUUUGAAACUGUUGGUCUUGAGUAUCGGAGCGGCAGGCGGAAUGUCUAGUGAAGCGGUGAAAUGCGUAGAUAUUAGGCAGAACACCAGUGGCGAAGGCGGCCUGCUGGGCGACAACUGACGGUGAGGCGCGAAAGCGUGGGGAGCAAACAGGAUUAGAUACCCUUGUAGUC
rnacentral:rRNA from 1 species